CACGCCCUAAACGAUGGACACUAAGUGUCGGCGGGUUACCGCCGGUGCCGCAGCUAACGCAGUAAGUGUCCCGCCUGGGGAGUACGGCCGCAAGGUUGAAACUCAAAGGAAUUGACGGGGGCCCGCACAAGCGGUGGAGCAUGUGGUUCAAUUCGACGCAACGCGAAGAACCUUACCCAGGUUGGACAUGCAGGUAGUAAGAGCCCGAAAGGGGGAUGAGCCCGCAAGGGCAGCCUGCUCAGGUGC
rnacentral:rRNA from 1 species